CCCCGAUCCCGGUGACACCGGCUUCGCGUCCUCCCAUUAACCCUGCGCAGAGGGGACAAAAGCGAAAACUAUGAUCCUGCUCCCGCUUCCCCCAUCCCAUCCCCAGCUCCGUGGGCUUCGACAUCCUCCCGUUCGCGCUGAAAGGAGAGGAGAACAAGGGCUGCUGCUGAUUGCCUUUUAGAGCUCCCCGAUGGCAACACGAUUUUAUUAAAUAUUCCGGGAGAAAGUAAUGAAGAUGAAAUCGUGGCAACCCGACUGCGAGCGCUGAACGCUCCCCCGACUCGAGCCAGCCUGCAGACUCCAACUCUCUCUCCUGCUGAACUUGCUGUGAACAAAAGGCUCCGUUCCAGAUCCAGCCCGGAGUUGCCGUGAGAAACUUCAUUGCAAGCCCUGUCUGUCGCUCUGCCUCCCUCGCUUGCUCUCUCCCUCCCUGGCUCAGUAAAAUGGCAGUGCGAGAGCUUUAUGAAAAGGGUGAAAAACCUUCUUUCU